GGAGAUACCACCACAUUCCCUGCUGGCCAUUCUUUGCUGGGCAAAGGACAUCAGAACAGCUUCAGCUUCAGUCUUCCUGUUUGCUUCUUCAUGAAUGCCCAGAUGAUUUCUUCACCUGUCCA
rnacentral:lncRNA from 12 species